rnacentral:rRNA from 1 species
GAUGAACGCUGGCGGCGUGCUUAACACAUGCCAGUCGAACGAUGAAGCCCAGCUUGCUGGGUGGAUUAGUGGCGAACGGGUGAGUAACACGUGAGCAACCUGCCCCUGACUCUGGGAUAAGCGCUGGAAACGGCGUCUAAUACUGGAUAUGUCCCGUCACCGCAUGGUGUGCGGGUGGAAAGAUUUUUCGGUUGGGGAUGGGCUCGCGGCCUAUCAGCUUGUUGGUGAGGUAAUGGCUCACCAAGGCGUCGACGGGUAGCCGGCCUGAGAGGGUGACCGGCCACACUGGGACUGAGACACGGCCCAGACUCCUACGGGAGGCAGCAGUGGGGAAUAUUGCACAAUGGGCGGAAGCCUGAUGCAGCAACGCCGCGUGAGGGAUGACGGCCUUCGGGUUGUAAACCUCUUUUAGCAGGGAAGAGGCGAAAGUGACGGUACCUGCAGAAAAAGCACCGGCUAACUACGUG